rnacentral:tRNA from 1 species
GUUUCCGUAGUGUAGUGGUCAUCAUGUUUGCCUAACAUGCAAAAGGUUCCCAGUUCAAACCUGGGCGGAAACA